rnacentral:rRNA from 1 species
GCAACGAGCGCAACCCCUAUCUUUAGUAGCCAUCAUUGAGUUGGGCACUCUAGAGAGACUGCCAGGGAUAACCUGGAGGAAGGUGGGGAUGACGUCAAAUCAUCAUGCCCCUUAUGUUUAGGGCUACACACGUGCUACAAUGGGUGCUACAAAGGGAAGCAAAUCCGCGAGGCCGAGCAAAUCUCAAAAAAGCACUCCCAGUUCGGAUUGUAGUCUGCAACUCGACUACAUGAAGUUGGAAUCGCUAGUAAUCGCGAAUCAGAAUGUCGCGGUGAAUACGUUCCCGGGUCUUGUACACACCGCCCGUCACACCAUGGGAGUUGGGGGGGCCCAACGCCAGUGACCUAACCCGCAAGGGAAGGAGCUGUCUAAGGCAAAACCAAUGACUGGGGUGAAGUCAUAACA